GGUUGGCAACUGUCAAAGUGGCGCUAUAGUAGCUUUCACCUUGUAGUUGUCAAAGUGUAUGGAAUUAAAAGGGAAUUUUCGAUUAUUUUAAAUAAAUAACAUGCCUCAGAUGUGUGAAGUCCCGUUUUGUAAAGAAAUAGGUGCCCACUAUAAUUCCCAAAAGAUCCUAAUAUGGCUAAGAUGUGGCUGAAAGCUAUAAUAAGGAAAAACUUUAGGCCCGAAGUUAGGCCCCAUAAAAAUGUAAACAUUUCCAUGAUUCCGACUUCCAAAACAUAAGUAUUUAUCAGGUCUCAAGAAUCAACACAGAUACACAGAUACAGAUACUACAGAUACCCCGCCCAAAGAGCUACUCAUUCAUACUAGCUCAUACAAAAAUAAAAAUACUAUUAAAUUUUUAGUAGGUCCAACCCCAGGUGGAUAAUUGUUCUCAAGGGUACAGCGGAGCAACAAGUGACCGUCAAAAUAUGAUACAGUGAAGUCCUUUAAUAGAUAAUUAGUGUCAAGAAGGAGACUGUAUUAUAAUGGCAGACAGGGGUUUUAAUGUUCAAUUAAAUCAAAUAGGUCUUGAAUCUUUGCAAUAAAAAACAUAAUAUUUACUAUUAACAUACCUACUUUUUUAAAAGGCAAGUCACAAAUAGCAGGGGUUUUGCUAAAACAUGACCAGAAGCUUGCCAGGCAAUGUGUGCACAUUGAGAGAUUGAGAGGUUUAACAAAAACAUACAAAAUUUUACAAACUCUUUUUAUGUGCCUUUAGCAUCAGAAAUAUUUUUUAUUUGUUUUAUGUUAUAUAAGUUUAGGGAAUGUAUUGUUGAUAAUAAAAAGUACAAAAUCAA